rnacentral:rRNA from 1 species
GUAGGUGGCAAGCGUUGUCCGGAAUUAUUGGGCGUAAAGCGCGCGCAGGCGGUUCUUUAAGUCUGAUGUGAAAGCCCACGGCUCAACCGUGGAGGGUCAUUGGAAACUGGAGAACUUGAGUACAGAAGAGGAAAGCGGAAUUCCACGUGUAGCGGUGAAAUGCGUAGAGAUGUGGAGGAACACCAGUGGCGAAGGCGGCUUUCUGGUCUGUAACUGACGCUGAGGCGCGAAAGCGUGGGGAGCAAACAGGGAUUAGAUACCCUGGUAGUCCACGCUGUAAACGAUGAGUGCUAAGUGUUAGGGGGUUUCCGCCCCCCUUAGUGCUGCAGCUAACGCAUUAAGCACUCCGCCUGGGAGUACGGCCGCAAGGCUG